rnacentral:SRP_RNA from 1 species
CUGGGCCUGCCAACCGAGCCAGGGCCGGAAAGCAGC